ACAUUGGGACAGUGCUUGUCGGUGUUCUAUUACGUAGCGUCCUUAAAAGGGUGGCCGUUGAGCAUGCUUCCUUCACAUUGGGAAGCAGUUUCCUUUAUUCAAGUCUUGUUUUUAAAGAAAUAGAGAAGGGCGUUAACCCAUGGACCUAUAAAGAAAGCGUUUACCUCAUCUUGGUUAAGUCUUCCACUAGCUGCCUCAUCUAUCAUCUGCUUACAUGAUGGGCUUCGUUUGCCUUUUCUUUGUUCUUUCUUUGACAAUAUCCACCGUUGGGGGAUUAAGUUGCUACUCGUGUACGGCCAAACCUUCCAAGGAAUGCAUUAAGAAAGUUGAUUGUGCAAGGAUCGCUGUUUCAGCAUGAAAACAGGUGACAUUGCCACAAAGGGGUGUUUUCCGAGUGCUGCGUGCCUCGAAGGAGCGACCGAUGAUUGCUGCAUUGGCAAUUUGUGUAACAAUGCAAAGAACAUCGGAUCAAGUUUCAUCCUCCUGCUGUUGUCUACCGCUGCACUGUAUUUCCUCUGAUCAAUGGGUUUGCGUGCACUCUAGAAACCUGGGGCCAGAUUUACAAAGGAGUCUCAAAGUAAUGAAAUCCUGUGCAUUAUCUGGAGAAUAUGCUAUAUACUAGAAUAUUCCUACAGAAGGUUCUUUACUGCAAUUCCUCAAUAACUUCCUCUUCCUCUCAUUACACUUAAGAAAUGUUUUUCAAGUCUUUCCAACUUUUAUAAUUUGGGCAUCUGUGAAGAUGCGUGUAAAUCAAUAGCUUGUAAUCUCUAAAGUGAAAAGGUAAAAUCCUAACAAUUGAUAAACUAAUUUGUAGUUAAGCAUAGCGUUUAGCAGCUUAGACCUAUGUCUUUUUCUUUAUUAUAAUAUCAAUACAAUUCGUAGAGUUGUCCUUUGUGUAAUUUUAAAAUGUUCAGAUUAACUUGCCACUAUCAUUCAAAUAUUUUAAACUGUUUAAGAUAUUCUACUAUAUUAUAUUAAGAUAUUCUACUAUAAAUAUUUUCUUUUACAAAGGAAGUCAAAGGCCCAUUGACUCCCAGUAGCUGACACUUCAACUACUUCAGACUUUGUAACUUCAUUUUUUAACUGUUAACCUUCAUUAAAACAUCUAACAAACACACUUGUAUCUUCAAUCAUAAAGCAUUUCUCUAUCA